rnacentral:rRNA from 1 species
UACAGAGGUCCCAAGCGUUGUUCGGAUUCAUUGGGCGUAAAGGGCGCGUAGGCGGCCAUCUAAGUCAGACGUGAAAUCCCCCGGCUUAACCUGGGAACUGCGUCUGAUACUGGACGGCUGGAGUUUGGGAGAGGGAUGUAGAAUUCCAGGUGUAGCGGUGAAAUGCGUAGAUAUCUGGAGGAAUACCGGUGGCGAAGGCGGCAUCCUGGACCAAUACUGACGCUGAGGCGCGAAAGCUAGGGGAGCAAACGGG